rnacentral:lncRNA from 1 species
UAAUAUGUUCUUUACUUACUUAAAAAAAGAUAUGAUUUUCUUACCAUUCACCAAGUUUUUUUCUUUUUUUCAAAAGAUAUCUUCUUUUAUUUAAUAUCUUCAUGCAUUCCAAGAUCUCUUGCAAGAUUUUUUACUCUUAAAACUUGUCUCUUUAUAUUCAAAGGUUGGUACUCCUUAUUGUAAAUAUCUUCAAUAUCUUGAUUAUCUUUAUUGGUGGUUCUAGCAAUUAUAGACAUAUGUUGGUCUACCUUCUUUGAUUCUUCAUCUUAAUUUUUAUUUCUACUAUCCUCAUUAUCAUCAUCUUUUCUUUUUUUUUUCUUAGAAUUAAAGAUUUAUCUACAAAUAUAUCAUUAUUUCUACUUGGAUA